GUGCUGCUUUCCCUGGCAGCUUUCAGUGUCAUCAGUGUGGUUUCUUACCUCAUCCUGGCUCUUCUGUCUGUCACUAUCAGCUUCAGAGUAUACACGUCUGUCAUCCACGCUGUGCAGAAGUCUGAAGAAGGCCAUCCAUUCAAAGCCUACUUGGACUUGGACAUCACUCUGUCCUCAGAAGUGUUCCAUAAUUACAUGAAUGCUGCCAUGGUGCAUGUCAACAGGGCUCUGAAGCUCAUCAUCUGUCUCUUUGUGGUGGAAGAUCUGGUGGCCUCCUUGAAGUUGGCUGUGUUCAUGUGGCUGAUGACCGACGUUGGUGCCAUUUUUAAUGGAAUCACCCUCCUGAUUCUUGGUGAGCUGCUUGUUUUCAGCAUCCCAAUUGUCUAUAAGAAAUACAAGACCCAGAUUGAUCAUUAUGCUGGCAUUGCCCGGGAUCAGACCAAGUCAGUUGUUGAAAAGAUCCAAGCAAAACUCCUGGGAAUUGCCAAAAACAAA